AUUGAACGCUGGCGGCAGGCUUAACACAUGCAAGUCGAGCGGGGGAAGGUAGCUUGCUACUGGACCUAGCGGCGAACGGGUGAGUAAUGCCUAGGAAUCUGCCUAUUAGUGGGGGACAACAUCUCGAAAGGGAUGCUAAUACCGCAUACGUCCUACGGGAGAAAGCAGGGGAUCUUCGGACCUUGCGCUAAUAGAUGAGCCUAAGUCGGAUUAGCUAGUUGGUGGGGUAAAGGCCUACCAAGGCGACGAUCUGUAGCGGGUCUGAGAGGAUGAUCCGCCACACUGGGACUGAGACACGGCCCAGACUCCUACGGGAGGAAGAAGUGGGGAAUAUUGGACAAUGGGGGGAAACCUGAUCCAGCCAUGCCGCGUGUGUGAAGAAGGCCUUAUAGUUGUAAAGCACUUUAAGCGAGGAGGAGGCUACUUUAGUUAAUACCUAGAGAUAGUGGACGUUACUCGCAGAAUAAGCACCGGCUAACUCUGUGCCAGCAGCCGCCGUAA
rnacentral:rRNA from 1 species